AUACCACGUAAAAGUGGAUGGGAGUAUCGUCUUGAAGUGAGGCUAUGUUAUCACUGGAGACAAUUUGAACGCCAUGUUUUUUUUAUGCACGUUUCUACUCUUCAGCUGUACUGAGUUCAACCAUAGAGCAAAGAGAUGGAGUCAAAAAUGUCCGUGGCUAGACGGCGGGAAUUCUGAAGAUUAUUAUCUUGCUCCCAUGAAUCUGGGUCUCGGCAGACCAUCGAGGGUGUGAUUAUUGGAUGACAUUAUUACUACAAGAGUGGCAGCGCCUCAUGGGUACCAGAGGAUGUAGUCUUACUCUCUUCCAAUCCUUGCUCCUUUGCCAGGGCGAUCAUGUGCU